UACGAAGGGGGCUAGCGUUGUCCGGAAUUAUUGGGCGUAAAGAGCUCGUAGGCGGUUUGUUGCGUCUAUCGUGAAAACCUGCAGCUUAACUGUGGGCUUGCGGUGGAUACGGGCAGACUUGAGUUCGGUAGGGGAGACUGGAAUUCCUGGUGUAGCGGUGAAAUGCGCAGAUAUCAGGAGGAACACCGGUGGCGAAAGCGGCUCACUGGAUCUUUUCUGACGCUGAGGCACGAAAGCUAGGGUAGCGAACGGG
rnacentral:rRNA from 1 species